rnacentral:rRNA from 6 species
CCGCUGAAUUUAAGCAUAUAACUAAGCGGAGGAAAAGAAACUAACAAGGAUUCCCCCAGUAACGGCGAGUGAAGCGGGAAUAGCCCAGCACCGAAUCCCUCAGUGUCAUGCUGACGGGAACUGUGGUGUGUGGGACGCCACCAGUCGCAUCAGAGGGCGCCGAAGUCCUCCUGAUCGGGGCUUCACCCAGAGCGGGUGUAAGGCCUUUGCGGGUGCCUCUCUGUGCGGCCGCGAGCGUCUCAGGAGUCGGGUUGUUUGGGAAUGCAGCCCAAAGCGGGUGGUAAACUCC